rnacentral:rRNA from 1 species
CGGUGUUCAACUGGCGUGCCCGCGGGACGUCCUGCCGGUGAGCUCAGCCCGCGAGGGCGGCUCAACUUGAAAUCCCAUCGCGGUGCUCUUCAUUGAGUGUCGAGGUGGGCCGGCACGAUUACUUUUUGAACAAAUUAGAGUGCUUAAAGCAGGCUAAAAUUUUGCCUGAAUACUGUGUAUAUGGAAUAAUGGAAUAGGACCUCGGUUCUAUUUUGUUGGUUUUCGGAACCCCGAGGUAAUGAUUAAUAGGAACGGAUGGGGGCAUUCGUAUUGCGACGUUAGAGGUGAAAUUCUUGGAUCGUCGCAAGACGGACUAAAGCGAAAGCAUUUGCCAAAAACGCUUUCAUUGAUCAAGAACGAAAGUUAGAGGUUCGAAGGCGAUCAGAUACCGCCCUAGUUCUAACCAUAAACUAUGCCAGCUAGCGAUCCGCCGACGUCCCUCUGAUGACUCGGCGGGCAGCUUCCGGGAAACCAAAGCUUUUGGGUUCCGGGGGAAGUAUGGUUGCAAAGCUGAAACUUAAAGGAAUUGACGGAAGGGCACCACCAGGAGUGGAGCCUGCGGCUUAAUUUGACUCAACACGGGAAACCUCACCAGGCCCAGACACUGGAAGGAUUGACAGAUUGAGAGCUCUUUCUUGAUUCAGUGGGUGGUGGUGCAUGGCCGUUCUUAGUCGGUGGAGCGAUUUGUCAGGUUAAUUCCGAUAACGGACGAGACUCUGACCUGAUAACUAGACGCACUUGCGGCAUCUCAAAGGUCCGCCGGCGGCUGGCUUUGCGCCCGUCGUCGCGCGCGAUUUUUACUGCCGGCGUACAAUAAAUUCUUCUUAGAGGGACAAGUGG